UGUAUUUUGCCUUCGAGGCUUGUAUUAACACAAUAGCUUAUGACAAUACCAAGGUUAUGAAGGGGGAGGGGGGUGUUGGAAGAAGGCUUAUGUUUUGGUUUGGGUCAUAUUUUUAUCACUGCUGAUCUCAUGCAAUUUUGGAAUCUGGUCAAAUCUAUCUGAAGACUAUUGAAAAGUAAAUCAGGACUCCCUUUUCAGAACCCAGGCUACGGAAAGCCAGUGGACUGUCCGUAGUCAGCCUUCUCUAGCUGCUGGGCUACCCUAAAGAUGAUGGCAGGGCUCUGAAGCCGCCUGGGAGCCUGUCUGGAAAGAAUGGAAAAGAGAAAUCAUGCAGCAUCUUAAGGCAUUAAACGCAGGGGUUCAUUAAUAAGCUAAAUGGUUCCCACAACAGCCAAGGAAAGCAGCGCUCAGUUUUGUCAUCAGGAUACUGUUCCCAGGUAUACUCAGCCACACGUGGCCCCAGAGACGAGCCUCGCACCUGGAAGAUGAGAAACGUAUGACAUUGGAGAAGCUAUGACAAGAUUAUCUAGCUAGUAUUCCACAAAUGUAUGUAUUUGGAAACUAUUAUUUAUUGUGUGGAAAUGUCAUGCAUCCCCACGUGAUGGCAGUUGUCAUUUUCCUGAGAGCCUACAUCACAUAGCAGUGGUUACCCAAGGGUGGUCCCUGGGACGAGGGCAUCAGUAUCGCUUGGACACCUACCUGUUAGAAUGCGAAUAUUUGGCCCCACCUCAGACCUACUGCGUCAGAAAUCCUAGGAGUAGGUGCCACCACCUGUGCUUUAAUAAGCCCUUUGGGUAAUUCUGGUGCCCAAGUUUGAGAACCGCUGACCUGAUGAUGGAUACCAUGGGCCCUGAAGUAAGACUGCCCAAAUUUAAACCCUCACUCCACCAACUCACUGGAGUAAUACUAGUGUCAACAA